rnacentral:rRNA from 1 species
CUACGGGGGGCUGCAGUGGGGAAUAUUGCACAAUGGAGGAAACUCUGAUGCAGCAGCGCCGCGUGGAGGAUGACACUUUUCGGAGCGUAAACUCCUUUUAUAUAGGAAGAAGAUGACGGUACUAUAUGAAUAAGCGCCGGCUAACUCCGUGCCAGCAGCCGCGGUAAUACGGAGGGCGCAAGCGUUACUCGGAAUCACUGAGCGUAAAGAGCGUGUAGGCGGAUUAAAAAGUCAGAAGUGAAAUCCUAUAGCUUAACUAUAGAACUGCUUCUGAAACUCUUAAUCUAGAAUAUGGGAGAGGUAGAUGGAAUUUCUGGUGUAGGGGUAAAAUCCGUAGAGAUCAGAAGGAAUACCGAUUGCGAAAGCGAUCUACUAGAACAUUAUUGACGCUGAGACGCGAAAGCGUGGGGAGCAAACAGGAUUAGAUACCCUAGUAGUC